rnacentral:rRNA from 1 species
UACGUAGGGGCCUAGCGUUGUCCGGAAUUAUUGGGCGUAAAGAGCUCGUAGGCGGUUCGGCAAGUCGGAUGUGAAAUCUCCACGCUUAACGUGGAGGGGCCAUUCGAAACUGCUGUGACUCGAGUCCGGUAGGGGAGUGUGGAAUUCCCGGUGUAGCGGUGAAAUGCGCAGAUAUCGGGAGAAACACCAGUAGCGAAGGCGGCACUCUGGGCCGGUACUGACGCUGAGGAGCGAAAGCGUGGGGAGCGAACAGG